rnacentral:rRNA from 1 species
CCCUUAGAUGUUCUGGGCCGCACACGCGCUACACUGAAGGAGGCAGCGUGUACUCCUGGAUCGAAAGAUUUGGGUAACCCGCGAAUCUCCUUCGUGCUAGGGAUUGAGGUUUGCAAUUAUCCUUCAUGAACGAGGAAUUCCCAGUAAGUGCAAGUCAUAAGCUUGCGCUGACUACGUCCCUGCCCUUUGUACACACCGCCCGUCGCUCCUACCGAUGGGGUGAUCCGGUGAAUGAUUCGGACUCUGUAGACUCGCCAUGAGUUUUGACGGAGAAAGUCUUGUGAACCUUAUCACUUGGAGGAAGGAGAAGUCGUAACA